AUUGAACGCUGGCGGAAUGCUUUACACAUGCAAGUCGAACGGUGACGAGGAGCUUGCUCCUCCGAUCAGUGGCGAACGGGUGAGUAACACGUGAGCAACCUGCCCCAGACUCUGGGAUAACAGCUGGAAACAGCUGCUAAUACCGGAUACGAGACGGAGAGGCAUCUCUACCGUCUGGAAAGUUUUUCGGUCUGGGAUGGACUCGCGGCCUAUCAGCUAGUUGGUGAGGUAAUGGCUCACCAAGGCGACGACGGGUAGCCGGCCUGAGAGGGCGACCGGCCACACUGGGACUGAGACACGGCCCAGACUCCUACGGGAGGCAGCAGUGGGGAAUAUUGCACAAUGGGCGAAAGCCUGAUGCAGCGACGCCGCGUGAGGGAUGACGGCCUUCGGGUCGGUAAACCUCUUCUAGCAGGAGAAGCGCAAGUGACGGUACCUGCAGAAGAAGCACCGGCUAACUACGUGCCAGCAGCCGCGGUAAU
rnacentral:rRNA from 1 species